UGGGGAAUCUUGGACAAUGGGGGCAACCCUGAUCCAGCCAUGCCGCGUGAGUGAUGAAGGCCUUAGGGUCGUAAAGCUCUUUCGCCUGUGAAGAUAAUGACGGUAGCAGGUAAAGAAACCCCGGCUAACUCCGUGCCAGCAGCCGCGGUAAUACGGAGGGGGUUAGCGUUGUUCGGAAUUACUGGGCGUAAAGCGCACGUAGGCGGACCAGAAAGUUGGGGGUGAAAUCCCGGGGGCUCAACCCCGGAACUGCCUCCAAAACUAUUGGUCUAGAGUUCGAGAGAGGUGAGUGGAAUUCCAAGUGUAGAGGUGAAAUUCGUAGAUAUUUGGAGGAACACCAGUGGCGAAGGCGGCUCACUGGCUCGAUACUGACGCUGAGGUGCGAAAGUGUGGGGAGCAAACAGGAUUAGAUACCCUGGGUAGUCCACACCGUAAAACGAUGAAUGCCAGUCGUCGGGUAGCAUGCUAUUCGGUGACACACCUAACGGAUUAAGCAUUCCGCCUGGGGAGUACGGUCGCAAGAUUAAAACUCAAAGGAAUU
rnacentral:rRNA from 1 species